rnacentral:rRNA from 1 species
AGGCUGCAACUACGCCUACAUGAAGUCGGAAUCGCUAGUAAUCGCGGAUCAGCAUGCCGCGGUGAAUACGUUCCCGGGCCUUGUACACACCGCCCGUCACACCAUGAGAGUUUGUAACACCCAAAGCCGGUGGGGUAACCUUUUGGAGCCAGCCGUCUAAGGUGGGACAGAUGAUUGGGGUGAAGUCGUAACAAGGUAAC